GGAACGCCCGUGGUGUCCGUACCUUGGGGGCCGUCGUAAGUCUUAAUCAGUUCGUCGAUCAGACGGGUGGUCUCCUCGGUUCCCCGUGUUGUACGGCAGCAAUGUAGUGCCAGCUCCUUCUUCGUGACAAAGCGAGAGGCAUGGCAAUCACCUUUCCAGUCUCAAUGUACGGCGGAAAUCCUGCAGGCAGCUGAGAAUUGCGUCGCUGCUUGUCCUACUCAUGACAAAUGACGAAACAAAUUACAUAAGCCUUGCAAGCUUGGCGUACUUACAAAAGAUCUGAACAGCAGUAAUAGUGUAUCUCUGUAACAUUUUUUUUCUUAAAAUUUCUCAUAUGAUGCAUGGCACGGAUUCAAUAUUUAAGUACAAAAUGUAUCAAUCGAUGGCAGAAAUCGAUCCGUACCUGAGGAAGCAAGGUUCCUCUCUCGUCAUGUUCGCUCCCGGGCAUUACCAUGAUGUCUUACAGUGAACCUUUCCACAGAAAUGAAUGUUCCACAAAAUUGUUCAUCCUUGGCACGGUCUAUUUACGUUAGCGCCCAAAUGAAUAUUUCCUUAUGCAGUCAUGAUGGGAUAGAUACUAACAAACUGUGGGAAACAUACCUAGACAUGUGGUCAAUCACCCCUUGUAGGAGGACAGAGUGAUAUCCCUUUCUGUUGAAGAAAUCAGUGUGAUCCUUUGAUGGUGCUUUGAUAGGGAUGUGUGAUCCGUCUAUCGCUUCUGCACACUGGGGAAACCCCCACCUCUCCUUGUAGCCCUGGAUCUCGUUUCUUUUGACUUCUGUCUAGUAGGAAAGAUAGUCUCAGAACAAUACUAGGUUUAUGGCGUUACACGCUUCGUGGACAAUGACGCAAACCGAACCUGACUCCGAAGAUGUCCGCAACACUCCUCAUCCGGUCUCCAGAGGCUAGCCAAUAUUUGCCGGUCGCCAGUCGCUUGCUUAUUGGCAUUGCCGGCUGCAUCCGAGUGUCCCUCAUUUCCAGGACCGGGUCGAGCUUGUCACAAAUAAUCUGAAAUGUGCCACUUUUUCAUUCUGAACCGUUUGUAGAACUCUGCAUUGCACAGUGUGCACCGUACACUGCCAGCAGCCACUUUCAUGGGCUGGAGGUGAGGCAAAGGUCUGACGUGCCACCAGGGGACUGAUGAACUGCUCACAGUCGGUCAGGUAGUGCAGACAAUGCUGCAGGUAUAGACCUCACUGUGCUGCUCCAGGAUCUGAUUCCUGAGUUAGCUGACCCGGCAUCGAGCUGUCGCAGAAUGUCACCAGACCAUGCCGCAACCUUCUUAGUGUAAUCUUUGCACUCAGGGUACUCUGUGGCCGUGUAGUACCACCCGUCAACGUCAAGGUCUAGCCUCACCGUCUUGUGAUGGCUUACCUGCGUGAGAAUGUGGGUAGGGAAUUAAUGGAACAUGUAACUCUGUAAAACUCCAAUUAUAUAAGAAUGUUUAAUAUUUUCUGUACACUUGUAUGUGAAAAAAAAUACACAAGAACAUUACUUAAUAGCUCUUUUUGCUGCACAAUGUCUUGACACAUCUCAGUUGAACAGCCCACAUCCUAUAUGGCAUUCACAGGAAGAAGGGCCUGUGGAAGUAGCGUAGGACUUUUGAGUUUUGAACGUCCAUACAUGAUAAUGUGCAUCAUCUUUGAUCAAGUAGAUGCAGAGUAGGACCUAUUUUGAGUACAUACAUCAUUGAUAAGCAGAUAUAAAUGUACAUAAUACAUAACAUUAUUUAUAAGAAGCAGUACAGUAGGACCUUUUCUGAACGUACAUACAUAAUCUAUAUAUAGAGAUCGUUUAUAAGUAGAUAUGGGACAGGACUUGUUUUUAACGCCCAUACAUACAUAUAUACUACUACUACUACUACCUAUUCAAUAUUUAAGCAUCAUUUAUAAUGUAGAGAAGGACUUGUUUUGCACGUCCAUAUAUAAUCAAUAUAUAAAUAUCACUUGAAAAGUUCCUGGAAGCACUCGCAGCAUUUGAUCGAGAACACUUCCGUGAGAUCUAUGUACGCACACACCAGCAGCCAUAGCAUAACAACACCCCCCACCACCUUUUAUCAGCUUCAACUUGUCUGGGAUGACCAUGUACACAGCUAGGCAGUCAGGCAGCCUCCAUGCCCUGUUUUGAACAUCCAUACAUAAUACAGUAUCAUUCAUAAGGAAACAAAGAGUAGGACCUGUUUUAAACGUCCGUACAUUAUUAUCAUAAGUCUAUGUCAUCCCAAAGCAGAAAGGUAUAAUCUUUAUCCAGAUCGAACAAAUGUGGCUCGUGGGGAGUUUGUCCUAUACACAGACUUUAAGCUCCUUUUUUCAGCCAAGCACUCCUGAACAGUUAAGGAGGAUUUUACAGCGCAAAAACUUUCCCUUCCAAACCUGCUACGGCCAUACUAUUUUGUUACAGGCUUGCUACAUUUUGAACAAAUAUUACAUCCAGACUUCCGGAAGUACUUUCUUUUGACACGGCCGUUUUGGUCCUCUAGGGUCCUUUUCUUUCUUUACCAGUUUGUGGUCGCGGGUACUCUAAAAGUAUAUGCUGGGACACAACUAGCCGCCCCUUGAGUCUGUCUAGACUAGAGAAUGAACACUGGAAUAACAUACUGAAGUGAAGUUCCAUAAGGAGCAGUACCUGUCGCUCUGCUUUCUUCUGCCGUUUGUGAUACCGGAAUAAUAUCCGAUGUGAAGGACUCAUUAAGUUAACGCGUUGCAAUGGAUACACAUUCCGGACACACACACUCAAUAAGAUAUCUAUACUAAAACGUGACUUUUGAUUUUUAAUCAGCACUGGCUCCAAACAAGUUAUUGUAUUAAAUUAUAUCCAAUAGGAUACGGCUGUAUGAAACCACUGGGUCAGCUUUUGGUGGUUGAUCUCAUACAGCUGCAGAGGUGUGUCUGUCAUCAGUCUGUGGCUGCUCACCCCCAGCAGGCGGAUUUGUCCGUUAUCUCUCAUGAUAUGAGAGCCCACCGACUCGUAUUUCCUCCACUCUUCUUUGGAUACGUAUGUAAGAUGCAGAGCUGCAGAUAGACAGACUCCACCAGACGGCUUGUGUUGGGCCAUUGCACAGGGGAAAAAAGCAGAUAAAACAACAUCAAGAAAAUGUGAUUUCGACGUAGUCUUGGCGGGCUUCGCUGCCCCGGCCGCCGCCUGCAGCUUGGUCGUGGCCAUGCAUAGCAGGGUGUACUGGCCCACGGACAGGUCCAGCGAUUUAAGCAAGUUAAAGGCUCCUCCAUUCUCAUAAACCAUGAUGACAUAUAUAACGAUAAUAUAAGGUUAUGAAAUUAGAAUAACCAGUGAUACAUUGACAACAAUUAAGGAUUUACAAGGUUCAUGUUGUAAUUAAGGCAGUAAGUCAUGUUCUUGUGGCAACACUCACCAUUGAAAGUGGUGGCUUGUGCAACAGUGCUGUCCUCUGCUGUGCCGUCAUCGGGGUCCUCCUGGUCCAAGGCGCCAUCCUGGAGUACCUUGCCUGUCUGGUCAAACAGGUACUCCGCCCCAAUCAGUUCUCCUGAUUAGAACAGUAUAAAUGAAAUUAAAAUAGUGUGAUCAACAGCUGUGUAUAGCCCUUCUAAUACCGUAGAACUGAAGUACAGUUUGUAGUCUAUUUUAUACAUACACAUACCUGUGUAUUUCCCAGUCUGUCUAACUGGCUGGACUUGUUUUCAGCCUAGGACACUUUCGCCGAGCUAGUUCAGGGCAUCGCUCAUCUUCGUGUUGUACACGUGGUGCCUCACCCCACCAGACAGCGCCAGCUGCUCGAUCUUCAUUCCUGCGGGCCAACCCAAGUAGAUAGGCCUAGAAGUUCAAGUCACUUGCGCUGGUACCUUUUCAACAAGUUUGAAAACACAAAUUCACAAUGUGAAGCUAAGGAUAUUUGCCAUUGUUACUUAUGCCACAUUCAUUUAAACAGAACAAAAUGAACUUAUCAUUCUGACUCUCAAGAAAAAUCAAAAGCAAGAAGUAUCCACUUGGAAUAAAUCUGUUCUGGUGCAGUUGGAAUGACUCCAGAGAUGUUGACCAUGAGCACAUCUGUAGGUGGGUAGCGUCACCCCCCACACACCUACACACUGUGAGAGCCUCCCCAUGAACACACCAUACAACUGGUGGGACUCGGUGUUACAUCCGAUUGCUAGCCUCCUCAUAGAAUGCCAAAUAUCUAGGCGGAUGUGUAGAUCUUUUUUGGCAGUCUUCAGUUGUUUCAAGUCCUCAUCACUCCACUCAAAUAUACACACUGUGAGAGUCUCCUCAUGAACACACUAUACGACUGGUGGGACUUUGUAUUACAUCCUAUUGCUAGCCUCCUCAAAAAAUGCCAAACAUCUAAGCGGAUGUGUAGAUUUUCCAUUCGUGAAACAACCUCUUGUACUUGCCCGUUGUCGACAGUUCACUGCAGGAAUCACCACAGUAAUCACUGCAACAUUUGCUAUCCACAUACAGAAUUACAGGAGGGAGGGACCUCAGCUUCCUUGUAUCUUCUCGUUAGUCCUUCAGCCACACUAAUGAGUCCAGCACCUUCAGCUGCUGUCAGCACACUCAUCAGCACCUCACCGCGUUCAUUCCCUACAUUAGUUACCCACGAAGCUGUGCCCGCAUCGAGACCUGCUAGCUUUCGGACCAUCUUGUUUGUAGAGUCCAGUUUCAGGAUUGUUCCAAAUGUAGAUGUAAUGGCUCAUUUUACCCCGUCCAGUCUGUCCUUGAUGUCUCGAAGGUACACGGUGAGGAGCCAGCGGAACUGCGGGAUAGACACGAAUGAUGGAGGAUCUGCAACAUCUGGGGGUGAAACUAAUCCACUUGCCGAGGUAUCCGACUUGAAUGAAAGACAGUCUGUCUUACAUAGUCUUACAAAUUCAAGCCUCUGUGCUGUUCUGCAAGCUUCUUCCGGAGUUGGGAUGCACUAUUUCCCAGCCCUCUCUGCCGGAGAAGACGAAUGACCCUGAUGUCGCAAGCCAGGCGAUAUGUCAACACAAUGGGAAACUGUUGACGGUGUCCCAUGUCACGGUGGCAUGGUAGUGAGUCAAGUCAAGGAUCAGGACAGAGGCAUGAUGUUGCGGAGAUGAUAACCUUUAUUCAGGACAAUCUGGGCACGUCCUACCCUGUCGGCGUCUCUAGCUGGAAUCCCCUACCCUGAUACGUGUCCCUUCUCAAACCCCUGUACAUCUGCUCCCAAUUACCCGGGUGACACUCCCCACACCAGGACGAUGUCACCUCGUGACACCCAUAUCAGCUGCUAAAGAAUGGGCUCGCUCCAACCAAUCACUUUCUUCUUGCAAUUCGGGCACUGCAGAAAUAACGUCAAAGCCGUUCCUACCAUUCGACAUUUUGUAUGUCCCGUGGGAUCCCGUCUGCUUCAGCGCCCCCAUGUGCAAAACCAGCAGCGCCACGGUCUUGAAAUCACGAUCACUGUCGCAGCUCGGCUCGGUUGUGUCUCAAUGCUCUCAUCGAGGUGUCCUUGUCGCCAAUAACAUCAUUCUUGAUACAGUUUUCCCGUACUGGUGUUUGAUCUCUUCUGUCAUAGAAAGUAGGGUCAUCUUUGCAAUGUCAGUUGCGGUAUCAGCAUUGUAAGCAAAAAUGGCAUCAUUUCUUACCAGUGAUUUGAGUUCUGUUUGGGCAGUGUUUUUGACUGCAUCAAUACUGGCCUUACUGUACGUCUUCAGGUGAUUUCUCAUUUUGUUGAUGCUCAACGAGUGUGUUCAUCUUUGAUAAAUGCGACUUCAGUUCUGUCAGUGGGUUACUCACACUACCAAAAAUGCCAUUCUUGUCUAUUUAUUAUACUCGGAGGAAAAGUCAUCUUCCUUGUGUACCAGCGGCCGAGAAUAUCUGGUAGAAUGCAAUCCUCCAGUAUGCUUGCAGCUUGACGAAAACCAUAUUUCAGUGCUACAGUCCUUUGCCACUUCUCUCAGUGCCGCAAUUCCGCAAUCCUCGUCCUAGUUGACUACAUUGGGCUGGCCUUUCUUAAACCAAUAUCCCGAUUGUAAUUCACAAUUCGUAAGAAGGCGCGCACUUGCUUCUUGGUCUUCGGGAUUGGGGUGGCUUGUAUGGCCGCAACCUUGCUGGCUGUAGAGACCUCUCUCUGUCCUAUCAUCUUCCUCUAGUACCACAACACUUGGUUUGACUGUGAGCCCAGCCAGUUCCAGCCUGUACAACACCUCUGUUAGGUUCUUUCCAAUUGAAUGAAGUCGAGACGAUACGGGGAGUAAAAAAGCUAUAGAAAUAUACAGGAGGCACACCUGGACUCAGAGGUGUGCAAGCUAACAACAUCCAACAGCUCCAGCACACAGGUGCCCUGGCGUUGGUGUUCUCGUGGAGGUAUGCCUCUUUCAGACGUGUCCACGGAACGUUUGUACCUUUUUUUGCUCGUUGAGGCCCUGGUUCGUCUUUAGGUCUUCUAGGCUGAUCUUCGGUAUGCUUGGUUCAUACGCACAGUUAAUGUUUACAUACAUAUGUACACAUCUUUGAACACAUUUAUACUAUCAUAGUUUUGACAGGUCACUAUUCCAGGUAUUCCUUUUGUCAUCUGGAGGCCACUUGCCCCUCUUUAAUACAGUGAUUGUUCCACUAAAGCCAUUAAUAUUGCUGUACUAGUUUUUGCGUAUUUCAUGCCGUGGGGCUGAUGUGAACUUUACAGAUACAAUCUCUGAAUUUCUGAUGGCCUUUGCAAUUGUCACCUUAGGGAUUUUUUCAACAGGAAUAUACCUUACAACCUUCCAAAUAUCAUUGAUUUUAGCAUCAGUCUUUAUUGCAUUUUUAUCUUUAAGCUGAGGCUUCCGGGUUAGGACGGGCAGGCCGCCUGCCUGGCACGGAAUCACUCAACGUUGGGAGCACUUACGAGUUUUUGUAAAUGUCUGUAUGUGCGACUGUGCGAAUAUGUUCUUCAUGUGUUUUUAUUGCAGAAACAUUUUAAAAACUACCAUCUACUCCUAUUGUGUCCGCCACCUUGCCCAUCUCCUCAAAUGUUGACAUCAGAUGCUGCACACAGUUUUUAUCGAUUAUAUCCGCUGUCUCGUUGCAGACUGGUGCCAGGGCCAACGAAAACACUGUCACUUUGGCCUCCUUCUUGUCUCAAGAUCACAUUAUGUGACUGGUCUCGUGUUGUAUGGUCUGACUGAUAUGUCACUUCGAAUUCUUUGUUUCCGCUCCUUAUUUCAUCCACUCUUUGAAGCCUUUUAUGUUGGCCAAAUGUCCAGCUUCAAUUUUGACCCAUUGCGUCGUUGUUCGCCCGGGUAAUGCAACACUGUCCAUGUUGAUUUGUGUGAGAGUAUCCAGAACAGCUUUGACAACAUCCUGAAUAAUAUUGCUGGAGACUCCUAAGGUGAGCAAGUGAUAGUAAGUUAGGCGAACCUGUGCUGUGUAUGUCUUUCCAUACCUUGUUCCUUGUGUUCAACAGUUGUAUUUACAGGGCUAUAAGAAGCACGUCUUGACGUGGUGUCUAUGCCAGAGUAACUUUUAUUCAAACCAGAUGUUAGUAUAGUGGCCGGGAUCAUACAGUACGUAUGUGGAUUGGGUAAGAUAUACUGACAACACCUUGUACCCUUUUAGUUUGUUUUUCUAACUCCUCUAGGAUGCCUUCAUAAAACACUUCUGCUGCCUCUUGUCCUUGCUCCAAGUUCUCUUCUGCUACUCUUAUUCCCUGUUAAACUUGGGUUGGGAGUUCGCCUCUGCGCGUGCCUUGCAUCGGCUACAAUGCUGAUGGCCUCCUCUGACACAUCCUGGUUCUCCUAUUUCCUACAUAUUAAAUUCUGAUAUAUGGAAAAAAAAAUCAGAAUCAGAUACAUUUGAACUCUAGUACACAUAUAAACACCAACAUCUUCACGAUCGGAAAAUUGGAAUGUAUUGUAUGCCGAAUAUUUCAUCAUCAUCAUUUUUGUAUUUAUUUUUACCGCAAUCUUUCAAUAGAGUAUACGAAAUAUAUUUCUUCUUGCCAUGGAGCAACAAAUAGAGCCACCAAGGCUAAAGGACCAAUGGCAAUUUGUCAUUCUCCGAACCCGACACACCGACAAACCCUAAGUGAGCCUCCACAGCCUUGAUACCCAACGCUACCGAAUACCCUCCCCAGACAGGAUGUACUCAAGUGCCGCCAGAAAAUAGUUCCCCGCAAGGACAAAGCAUCCAUCGAAUUAGUGUUUGUUACAUUGUAUUAGGUAGGUGGCAUUAUUUUCCGGAUUUAGGUAUAUUAAUUACUUUUUAAAGUAAACAAAUUAGUUGUUUUCGAUGUAUUAUUUGGAGCUUUACAGCUAACCAUUCUCGUGGCGGAUGGAUAUGAGCAGUACUUCCCGUCGUACUGUCAUCCAGCUUCAGUUGGAGAAGAAAGGCGGUGGCGAGAGGUGGGUGCUCGGAUGAGUCAGAAAAGAGAAGCUCUUGACAUGAGGCGAACGGCAGUCAGUUGAGCAGACCACCUGAAUGAUAUCUUAUUCCACAAAGAGCUCCAAUGUGUCAUACUUUAGGCGUCAAAGCCAAUAUCAUUGUUCAACGAAGCCAGCGUGCAGCAUCUGAUCAUAGCAGGAGCCUCCCCGAACAAUGUUUAACAACAAAGUCGUUAUCAUUGGUGGCAAAUCAAAUUGUGACACAUAACUGAUGACAUGUAUUUAAUUUCUAGGCUAGUGGCAGAACAUCCAAUUAACUCAGGGUUUGUUAGUCAGUCAGGUUUAGUCUAACAGCUGUCCAGCCUCUUGGAAACCCAGACUUCGGGGACUGUGCCUCUGGCUCAGUGGGGGCUGGUUCAGCUUAGUUAGAUGGGUUUGUUGGAUGUUGAACCCAAAAUUGAGUGAAACAGAAGAUAUUUUCGUUCCAGACAUUUUUAAAUGCUGUUUCAUUGGAAUAGUUUGCCUAAUUUGAGAAAAGGUGGUCAGAAUAGGCCAGUCACGAAGAGCUGCGGUUUGGUCUGUGUCUGUGACUACUACUAAGUUUACAAUGUGUCAUAGAUAUUUGACGGACGUGCAAAACAAAUGACAUUCAUCAGGGCGGAGCUUCAGGCCAUACUGGCCCAGGCGAGAGAAAUCACAUCUUGCAUAGCACAUACAUCAUCCUACAUUAGGUAGCUCUUCGGUUAGUGCAUCCAUUGCUCAUGCCGCCCUUCGCUCUCGGGCCCUCCGGUCACUCGAUCUUUUCUCGAGUCCUUCUCCCCAGCCGUACUACCAGAUGUGACGGUGGCCAGAUAGUCAAGUCUCAGGAGCCAGAAUUCAUAAGUGUGACCAGAAAUGGCUUUCAAAAACACUCAAUUUACUCUAUCAACAUCUAUUUUUUUCCUCAUAUUGCUUACUAGAAUAUACCGCUGGAUUUCAUGAAUUGGUGUAUUAGAGACAUUUUCUUGCUCAUUUGCUUACGAGCAACAUAUUGGCCCGCCGAGGACCAGUGUAUAAUGUCUUUAUUGCCAGGACAGUCUAUCUCCUGGACAUGACAUUCCUGAUUCUUUUUAAAUGAUUUGGUGCACCUUCAUCAACUGGGAACUCAACCCUGGACACUUUGCCAUACAAUCCAUGCCCAAUGAAAAAGCUUGAAUGUGUUGUGCGGGAAGUUUUGUACAUCAAUGGCGGCAUGAAUGUUGUUCAGCCCAUGGUCAAUGGCUCUGGUGAUGUGUGUACUCAUGGGCUCUUGACUUUCAUCCUGGCAACAUUAGAAGAAUGGACUUGUUUCAUGCUUGAUAUAAUUGAAUAGCAAAGUAUACACUGAUCAUGAUAGCAACCCUGUAAUGUUGCAUGUAUAUCCGUAUCUCGUGUCAGAAAAAUUGAUAUGCAAGAGUAUCUCAUUUCCCAAUAUACUGGAAACUAUAAAGACAAAACUAAAAUCUUAUUUCACUAAGAACUCAAUUUGAUCCAUCUCGUCAAUGAUACUUGAUAUGUACUUGUCUGGGUUGCCCCUUUUUUAAUAUGCUUGUAGUACUUUGUCCGCUCAUUUCUGAAAGCAAGAAAAAAAGUACUGUAUAUUCAGUAAUCUAUAUUCAGAUUAACAUAAAUUACACUGUUAGUAUAUCAAAAUAACAUUGUGCUAAAAGCUGCUCUAAUUUCCCUCCAGAGCUGCUACAUCGCAGUUGCUUCUAAGAAGAUACGUCUCUUGUUCCGUACAUACUUCUCCAAGAUAGUGUUUUUUUUUGGCUGUUCAGGGUAAUGUACUUUGACACACGACUUCUUAUUUCAUUAUUCUAUCUCUGGCCCUCUGCAUAGGCCAUGCAUUAGAUCCACUUUCAUUGAAUAAGUUAAAUUUUCAGAUACAUGUAUGUGGAUAUAAAUAUGUAUUUUGAGUUUUUUUUUUUAAAUAAUCUUUAUUAAUUUUUGAAAACAAGAAAGAACAUACAAAGUGGAUGUACAAAAAAGCAACCUAAACCAGGAAAGACAACUUGCAUUUCCCAACUAAAUUAAUUUAACAGUGCAUAACCAAUGGGUCCCCACUUUAACAAGUUUUAUGUAAGUUUUGAGCAAUGAUGUAUUCUACUUUGUAAUAAUAAUGUACAUAGGCUAAAAAAAAAUCUAUUGUAGAAAUUUUUAAAUGUCUACUUUUAACGAUAUACAUUUUAGCAAUUAAUUGUAUUUUGAGUCUUUUGUAUGACCCAGCCGGUAAUGGAAUUCACCAUCUACUUAAUACAAAGUGGACACUCCAAUAGACCAUCUUGGCCAUUGUUCAAUCUUACACAACUUUAAAUCAAUACAAAUACAAUCCAGCUAUAUAUCUAGACCAUCAACAGAUCUGUGAAAGAUGCAUGAGUACUUUUUGUAUAUCAUUACCAGCUUGUCAAAACUUUGUUUUUAUGUACUUUUUCAUUAAAGCUAAUACUGAUA